rnacentral:rRNA from 1 species
GUCUACGGCCAUACCACCCUGAACACGCCCAAUCUCGUCUGAUCUCGGAAGCUAAGCAGGGUCGGGCCUGGUUAGUACUUGGAUGGGAGAAAUAUUCAAUCCUGCCAACUCGUCAGAAUGUCCAUGUGAAGGAUC